AAGACUCUACUUUCAGGGAUCAUUUCUUUAGUUUGGAACUAGAGGAUUGUGUUUCUACAGAGGUUGGUCUUGCUGUCCAUGAUGAUGAAUGAAGAUGUUUCCUUCAGAGCAGGAAGCUGGUGAGAAGAUGAGAAUCUUCUUCACUGAUGAAGACUCUUCAGUGUUUCUGGAUGUGACACUGAAGGAGGAAACAUUGUCUGAGUGGA
rnacentral:snoRNA from 1 species